ensembl:ncRNA Y42A5A.11 ncRNA
UGUUUCGUGUUUCCUAAUAUAUCGUCUCUAAUCUCUGAUUUUGUCGGCCCUGAACCGUCUCGAAUAAAUUCAAAACAUGUAGCAAGUGAACGAAUGAAGAGUAUGAGAGAAAUAGUGAAAGUGGGCGGAGUUUGCCCACUUGGCAACCAUCCAACUUUUUUUUUCU